AGAGCUGUAGCUCAGUGGCAGAGCACUUGCCUCGAAGGUGUGAGACCCUGGGUUCAAUUCUCAGCACCACAU
rfam:Ictidomys tridecemlineatus contig022388, whole genome shotgun sequence.